CCCCCCCGCUCUUCCUCCUCCUCCUCUUCCUCCUCCUCCUCCUCCCUCCGCCCUCGCCGGGGGAUGGGCUUGCCGGAGGCCCCGCCUCACGCCUCGGUGAGCCAAUCCUAGCCCGGCGGGGCCGAGCGGCAGCCCCGGAAGCCAAUGGGAGAAGCGGAUGCCUGAGAGGGCGUCCCGCGCGCCGCCCCCCCCCCAGCCUGGGCUAGGGGGUUUGGGGGUGCGCCUGGCCAAGCUCCGGAGCAGUGUGUCGAAGGCUUGCAGUCCGGUUCCGAAUAGAGAUAGGAGGAAGGCUGAAGGGGUUCGCGUUCCCGGGUCCCCGCGCCCGGCCUUCCUGGGGAAGGGGUUUAGUACGCUCUGGGCGCGCCCCCGAAGCGGGGGGACGUGGCCCGGACGGGUUCGCGCCCAAGAGCAUCGCCGAAGGUUUGAAGAGAGAGCCGGAGUCCAGGAUGGCGGAGGAAAGGAGACCCCGCGAGGUGGUAGCACCAAGGAGCCGGGAGUCGGAGCCGAUAAGAGUGCAAGGCUACGGGAUCUAGGGGGCGACUGCCAGGAGCCUGGGCGUGGCCUGGGCACUCACCGAGUCUGUCCUAGCCAACCUUGGCGGCGCCCCGGGACGCGGGUCGGCCGGGCCUGGCCGCCUCCGGGAGUCUGCUCUCGGGUGGAGCCGUGAAAUUCCCGGAAGCCCUGGGAAUCCGCGGCGGUGGCCGCUCCGCUUCCGCCGCGCCCGAGGGACAUCUGGCUUCCCGCGUCCGCGCGCAGGAUGUCUGGGGAGCGCCCAUUGGGUUCGAAGACCCAGGGCCCCCGGGGGAAGGCGGUGUACACAGUAGGUGCCCGAUGUGUGUGAGUUGAAUAAAUGAGCGAUCGAGACACUUAUGUGUGUGUUUUUAAGUAUUAGCAGUUAUCCUAGUCUCCUGGUGGUACUAUCCGUAGCAUUUUUUCAAUGGUUUAUUUAUAAAUGUAAUUGUGAGAGAUUCAAGGUUAAAGGCCCUCACAACAGAUCAAUCAGCUCCUGGCUCACAUCUUGGUUUUGCCACAUUUUUGCUGUGUGACGUUGAGUAAGUGACUAUCUCCCUGUGUCUCCAUUUCCUCAUCUCUAAAAUGCUGGUGAUAGGCCCACUGUGCAGGGUCAUAAGGAGGGAUGAGCUAGACAGGAAGUAUUAGGUAAGUGCUGGUCACUGAUGGUGACUAUGUAAAAUAAAAAACUAUAAAUCCCACAUGCGAACACAUUAUGGUUGCCCCAAACAGAGCAGUAAAUCUCUAUUAGGCAGUGGUCAUCCACAGCCCCCUGCAGGUAGGUGGAGCCUUCAGGGAAGCAGCAGCCUACACUCUUAGACCUUAUUUUUGUGUGGUCUGCCCCAAGUGCUUGAGCUGCACUAUUUGAGUCUUAACUGGAUGGUGAGCAGGUUUCUAAUCAGAAUUGGCCACAGGGGAGCAGCCUUAAGUGACCGGCAUGUAGAAACCCUUUGUUUACCGUGUAGAAAAACAAAACUGGCUCAUAAAGGGGAAGUAUUUUGCCCAAGGUCAUGCAGCUGUGCACAAUCGUGCAACAGGGAAGUGUGGCCCAACCCUCAGCUGAAGGCUUCACUGUCCACUGGAACCAGACAUGGUGUCACUUUAUCAGAGUUGUCAGCUCCAAAGGACUCACUGGGGAUGGACAGGUUGAGAGUUAGACCUAAAGCACUGGGGCUAACUUUGCUUGAGUUUACUCGUACAGGAAAUACUUUUUGACUGGUGAGUGCCAGGGAUAUAGCAGUGCCUAGGUCAGUGAUGACAAACCUUUUAGAGACCACGUGCCCAAACUGCAACCCCAAACCCACUUAUUUAUCGCAAAGUGCCAACACUGCAAUUAAAUCUGAAUACUGAAGUUUUAGUUUCAAAAAAACAACUGUUAUCUGAUGCUCAGCUGCUGGGGCGACUUGGCUUGCUUGCCAGUGGAGGGCUCUGCCUGCCCGCUGCUGCAUGUGUGCCAUUGGUUCCCCAGUGCCCUAGGUCCUGCCUCCCACACAGCUCAGUCUGUUACCCCACACAAUGAGCAAGUAAGCGAAUAAAUUACUUAGCCUCAGUUUUCCCCCUUGGUCAUGCCCUACGAGUCCCAGGUUUCUUCAGUUGGUGCAUUGUAGUAUUGCCCUCAUCUGUAGAUGGUGCCUGGUGCUUAGUAAGUGCUCAAGAAAAUCCUGUUAAGCAUUCCCACCUCCUGCACCUUAGGGAUACACCUGACCUCUUAGGGGGAUAGAACCUAAUAAGGCUGACAAAGCCCUCAGAGAUCCAAUGUCCAUCUUGUCUGCUCAGCCCUGACCCCUGGCAUCCUUGAAAGCCUGGCUAAGCUUCAGAGUUGAUGACAGGUGUUGUCAGAGCUGUUCUGGAAGCAGUGGGUGAGGUCUGAAGAAUAUUGUGUGCUCAGAGG
ensembl:lncRNA